ACUAUGGAGAGGCAGUGCUGAAGCACUUGCAGAACUCUAUUGAUUUAGACCCAAAGCUUCAGAAAGCUCCAGUAAAUUAUGAAGGAGUCCGGGUAUCUGGGUUUGGAGGAUGGUUCCUUCUAAGGCUCUCGCUUCAUGAUCCUGUUCUUCCUCUUAACAUUGAGGCACCAACUCACGAUGACGCUAUAAAACUUGGACUCGCCGUGCUUGGGGCUGUUAAGGAGUUUGCAGCUUUGGAUACAUCCGCUUUAGACAAGUUUGUUCAAGUAUCAUGAGCCGAUGAUGCAGAGCGCUUUGGUACAAGUAUCUUUCAGCACAUUAUACUGGCAGUUAAA